rnacentral:lncRNA from 1 species
CUUCAGCCCGGUGUUCCGCCUUGAUUCCCCUGCCACAGCUGAGAGAAUAAGGAUGGCCUGUCAAGACUCCCUCACCCAAAAGAUUGAACCAGCAGUCCUAAAUAAUGAAAAGCCAUGGUCGGUAACAGUGUGAUAGAAGUAACUUUUAUAAUAAUGUAGAAAAUUAAGUGAAAUUAUUUAAAUUUAGUAAAUAGUAAGACUGGAUGAAUGUUUUACUAUCCAGUGCAGAGUUAUAAAAAAGAUAUUUAAAAUAAAUGUAAUGAUUCUCUGUGGAGUCAUUAUACAUAUAAAAUUUACAUUAGAUCAAAAUUUCCCAUUUAAAUCUUACAGUGGACAGUCUCACAGUCUCCACUCAAACAGAAAAGAAAAGUACAUCAUACAGAGGGCCAGUUGAAACUUUUUGGUUUAUUUCAUUGCAUGGUGAGAAGAGUUACGGAUUAUGUUGUUUAAUAUAUUGGCUUUGACAUUAACUAAUACAAACUUAUAUCUUACUGAUAGAAGGGCUAAUAAAAAUAACACUAAUACUUCCAUGAUAUCAAUGAUAAUGAAAGUAAAUAUCAAUAGUUUAUAGCAAAGAUACUUCAGCUAAAAAGGGUAUUUGCUGCAGUUUUAUAGCUUGUGAAAUCAAAAAAUCGAUACAACAUUAGAAACAAGGUACUUUUGAUUGUUUUAAUCCUUUACUCCAAUAAGUAUUUCACCAGUUUAAAGGAAUACUACACCUCCAAGAUGUUGAAUUGACAAUCUUCUAUGAUAUUGUGCAGUUAAUUCACUUAAUUAACUAUUCAUAAUAUAAUAUAAACAGUGUAUAUGUGUGUCCACACACCUUGACUUUGUUACUUGAAGCCAUUUAAUAAUACCCCCUCCCCUUUUAGAAGAUCUUGAAUCCCCCCUUCAUGAGAUAAACAUGUGUAACCAGAACAGAAAGCUCUUCUGUAAUUUGAUAUUGUCACUAAGCUGGCUUGUGAGUUUUACUAUUAGGGAUGGUCUUCAUUAAAUUUCCUUAAAUUUCACUUCCAAUUUAUGUAAAGAUAUUACAAACUUUGCAUCACUUCAUGGCAGGAUUUUCCUUUUCUGACAUUGUUUCAUUAUUUAUUCAGUAUGAGCCACUGACCAAUGAGAGAAAGAGAGAGAUUUUUUUUUGCUAAUAUACAGCACCACAAGCACUUAUUCACCAAGGAUUUAAUAAGUUUACCCCAGUAGCUCAAUUUUGUGGGGCAAUUAAUUUAUUUAUAUUAUCAUUAUUAAUAUUGUUAUCAGUAGUAGCAGCUCCAGCAACAACGGUAGUAGUAGCAUUAGAAGAAGUUUAAAAUAGUAACUAAGAUGUAAAUGAAAAUCUUGAAAAUUCAAGAAAUGGGAUAAACAGGCAAAAUCAGGUAAACCUAGUAAAUUAAUCCUUGUUGACUAAACACUUAUGAGCCAUCUGUUUAAACAAAAAAAAAAAAAAAAGAAUCAAGUGACCUAGGGUAGGUAACUUUGCAUACAAAGGUGGAUAGCCUGAGUGCCAUCAUAGAAAUAACAAAGUAGAUAAAUACAUCAAUGUACUGGUCAAAUAACAUAAAAUUAUAUCCAUAAAAGGUGGCAUUUUAACCACCAGAAUUAUAGUGGUAACAAAAAUUGCCAUAAUUUUAGUAAUGCAUUCCUCUUGUAUAUGACCUCAUCAUUCCUUUCUUCAUGGUUCAUCUCAUGGAUUGCAUUAUUUUUAAUGUUCACAGAUUUAUUGUUUUCUUCACAACUAUUGCUUCUCUAUAAUAUUCUCUUAUUUUUCCUUUGUAUGCAUUUGUUUUCUUUUGUAUAUAUUCUUGUGUGUUUCAUUAGAGUGUUGUUCUCUGCAAAUUUCUUGGCAAACACUUUACAAUUACAGGGUUUUUCUUUUGUAUGGCCUCUCAUGUGUACGACUAAACUGCAUUUCUCUGAGAAUUUUUUGCCACAUAUUUCACAACUAAAUUACCUUUUUUGUGUGUACUCUCAUGUGUGUUACUACAUGACUUUUAAUGGUAAAUUUCUUUCUACAAAAUUCACACUCAUAUGGGUUUGGCUUUGUAUGUACUUUGAUGUGAGUUACAAGAUGGCUUUUCUCAGAAAAUUUCUCAGCACAUAUCCUACAGGUUAAAGGCUUUUCUUUUGUAUGAACUUCCAUCUUUUACCAGACUACCUUUCCAAGGGAUAAGGUUUCUCCUUUGUAUACACUCACAUCUGUGAGACCAAAGUGGCUUUUUAGGGAAAUCCCUGAUUGUGUUUAUUUCAGUAUUGAAGCUUCUUUGUGUGAACAUUUUGAAGCAAUAUUAAACUAUUUAUUGAAAAAAAUGAUUUACUGGACUAUAUUUAGAUAUAUAUAUAGAUAUAUAUACAGAGAUA